rfam:Schistosoma margrebowiei strain Zambia genome assembly, scaffold: SMRZ_scaffold0000574
AUCGAGCUGACGAAUCCAAAAUAGGACGAAGAGCGCGUCCUGGAU